GUCCCCAUCGUCUAGAGGCCCGGCCCAGGACACUACCCUUUCACGGUAGGUACCGGGGUUCGAAUCCCCGUGGGGACG
rnacentral:tRNA from 1 species